GACGAACGCUGGCGGCGUGCUUAACGCAUGCAAGUCGAACGGAAAGGCCCUGCUUUUGUGGGGUGCUCGAGUGGCGAACGGGUGAGUAACACGUGAGUAACCUGCCCUUGACUUUGGGAUAACUUCAGGAAACUGGGGCUAAUACCGGAUAGGAGCUCCUGCUGCAUGGUGGGGGUUGGAAAGUUUCGGCGGUUGGGGAUGGACUCGCGGCUUAUCAGCUUGUUGGUGGGGUAGUGGCUUACCAAGGCUUUGACGGGUAGCCGGCCUGAGAGGGUGACCGGCCACAUUGGGACUGAGAUACGGCCCAGACUCCUACGGGAGGCAGCAGUGGGGAAUAUUGCACAAUGGGCGGAAGCCUAAUGCAGCAACGCCGCGUGCGGGAUGACGGCCUUCGGGUUGUAAACCGCUUUCGCCUGUGACGAAGCGUGAGUGACGGUAAUGGGUAAAGAAGCACCGGCUAACUACGUG
rnacentral:rRNA from 1 species